rnacentral:rRNA from 1 species
AGUUCGGAUUGUAGUCUGCAACUCGACUACAUGAAGCUGGAAUCGCUAGUAAUCGCGGAUCAGAAUGCCGCGGUGAAUACGUUCCCGGGCCUUGUACACACCGCCCGUCACACCAUGAGAGCCGGUAAUACCCGAAGUCCGUAGCCUAACCGCAAGGAGGGCGCGGCCGAAGGUAGGAUUGAUGAUUAGGGUGAAGUCGUAACAAGGUAUC